GUGCUUGCUUCGGCAGCGCAUAUACUAAAAUUGGAAAAACACAGAGAAGAUUAGCGUGGCUCCUGCACAAGGAUGGCACAAGAAUUGUCAGUUCAGCACUAUUGUU